UACGUAGGGGACAAGCGUUGUCCGGAUUUAUUGGGCGUAAAGAGCGUGUAGGCGGCCAUACAGGUCCGUUGUGAAAACUGGAGGCUUAACCUCCAGACGUCGAUGGAAACCGUAUGGCUAGAGUCCGGAAGAGGAGAGUGGAAUUCCUGGUGUAGCGGUGAAAUGCGCAGAUAUCAGGAAGAACACCCGUGGCGAAGGCGGCUCUCUGGGCCGUAACUGACGCUGAGGAGCGAAAGCGUGGGGAGCGAACAGG
rnacentral:rRNA from 1 species